rnacentral:rRNA from 1 species
AUUCCAGCUCCAAUAGCGUAUAUUAAAGUUGUUGCAGUUAAAAAGCUCGUAGUUGGAUUUCAGAGUGAGCUCGUCCGGUCGGCCUAAAUGGUCUGAACUGGUUGACUCUCUCUUGCUUGUGGAUCCCGCCCGGAGUUAACUCUUCGGAUGUGGACUUCGCAUCGUUUACCUUGAAAAAAUUAGAGUGUUCAAAGCAGGCGUGUGCUUGAAUAUAUUAGCAUGGAAUAAUGGAAUAGGACCCUGGUUCUAUUUUGUUGGUUUUGAGGACCAGAGUAAUGAUUAAUAGGGAUAGUUGGGGGCAUUCAUAUUUCAUUGUCAGAGGUGAAAUUCUUGGAUUUAUGAAAGAUGAACUUCUGCGAAAGCAUUUGCCAAGGAUGUUUUCAUUA